rnacentral:rRNA from 1 species
AACGAACGCUGGCGGCAGGCUUAACACAUGCAAGUCGAACGCCCCGCAAGGGGAGUGGCAGACGGGUGAGUAACGCGUGGGAAUCUACCGUACCCUACGGAAUAGCUCCGGGAAACUGGAAUUAAUACCGUAUACGCCCUACGGGGGAAAGAUUUAUCGGGGUAUGAUGAGCCCGCGUUGGAUUAGCUAGUUGGUGGGGUAAAGGCCUACCAAGGCGACGAUCCAUAGCUGGUCUGAGAGGAUGAUCAGCCACAUUGGGACUGAGACACGGCCCAAACUCCUACGGGAGGCAGCAGUGGGGAAUAUUGGACAAUGGGCGCAAGCCUGAUCCAGCCAUGCCGCGUGAGUGAUGAAGGUCUUAGGAUUGUAAAGCUCUUUCACCGAUGAAGAUAAUGACGGUAGUCGGAGAAGAAGCCCCUGCUAACUUCGUGCCAGCCGCCGCAGUAACAC